rnacentral:rRNA from 1 species
CCUACGUGUGGCAGCAGUGAGGAAUAUUGGUCAAUGGACGCAAGUCUGAACCAGCCAUGCCGCGUGAAGGAAGACGGCCCUAUGGGUUGUAAACUGCUUUUGUAUGGGGGUAAAUGCCGUUACGCGUACAUUUCUGAAAGUCUCGUACGAAUAAGGAUCGGCUAACUCCGUGCCAGCAGCCGCGGUAAUACGGAGGAUUCAAGCGUUAUCCGGAUUUAUUGGGGUUAAAGGGUGCGUAGGCGGUUGGAUAAGUCAGAGGUGAAAUCCUGAGGCUCAACUUUGGAAGUGCAGUUGAUACUGGUAGGCUUGAGAGUAGUAGAGGUAGGCGGAAUGCAUGGUGUAGCGGUGAAAUGCUUAGAGAUCAGGAAGAACACCGAUUGCGAAGGCAGCUUACUAGACUGCAACUGACGUUGAGGCUCGAAAGCGUGGGUAGCAAACAGGAUUAGAGACCCCAGUAGUC